CUUGUGAUUGCUUCUCUUGUUUCAUCAGUCCAUCACACCACCUGUGUGGUUUUGUGGCAUCAACAUCUUGGCCGUGCUUCUUUUCAUAGUUUAUCUUAAUUUUCUUAUUUGUCUUUAAUUCCUAAUAAUGUUAUUACAUAUGAUAUUUGUCAUUGAUCAAAACAAACACGUAUUCAAUUUUUAUUAAAUCAAAAUAAUGCAAGUACUCUUUUUUCUUUAAUAUAUACAUGUGAUAUGUGGGGGCGAUACCCAACUGCUUCUUUAUCAGGUGCUCAUUAUUUUUUAACUAUCGUUAAUGACUUUAGUCAUACUACUUGAGUUUUUCUAUUGAAACACAAGUUUGAUGUUAUCAUUAUUUUACUCAUUUUCAUGCUAUGGUUCGCAC
rnacentral:lncRNA from 1 species